UCUUUCCACCGACUUUCAUUAUAAAAAGUUUGCGUUUCUGACCAGCUUGGCACCUCAAGAAGAAGGAAAUGAAAGGAGGGAAACAGGCAACUAGAAGGCUCACCAAUAUUACAGAAAUGCUACAACCAAGGCAAUUAUGAGAAAGAGUGAUAAGUUGACAGUUGACGAGCAGAAAUUCAUUGACACAACCCAAAACGAGGAUUUUCUACCCUCUGCACAUCCAGCCAAAAGAUGGAGCUACACUGACGAAUUGAAGCACCAGCGCAACUUUCCAUCU